AAGUCUGGAGAUAAAUGUGAGAAGGGAGGGACAGGCAAUAGAAACAAAAGUGAAACUGUUUGAGCAGCAUAUUCCAGAAGUCUUGAGGUCUUUCUGAAUGUAGCCUUCAUUGAUUUGAGAUCUACCAAUUCCAUUCUGUCACUAAAGGGGAAAACCUAUCCUGGCAGUAGGCCGUAAAAGAGACCCAGUUUGGGAAUAUUUUAAUGAAGUUCCUCUGCCUGUGGGUAAGACAGGCAGGUAUGCAAAAUGCAAACAGUGCAACAAAGAAAUGCAAGGCCUACUUGCCCGAAUGAAACAUCAUGAAAAGUGUUCCUUCUCAAGAGGAAGCUACAUUGAAGAUUAUGAAAGGAAUAGGUCUGAACAUGCAGGAUCUUCAGGAGAAUCCAUCCUCAACAUACAGGAUUCUGCAGAUUAUCUACCUUCAAGAUCACCAUCAUGUUCUAUAGUUUCAGAGUUAUCUGCCAAUGAUAAUGUUUGUCACAUCAUGUAUGUCACAUAGCCACAGUAUAUCACCUGUAGCAAAAAGAAAAAAAAAAUUUCAAUCAUCCAGAAACAACCAUAUAUCUUUGUGAUAACCCAGCAGGUUACAAAAAGAGGUAAUUGAUGGAAAAAUUGCUCGGUUUGUAUAUGCAACAAACUCUCCUUGCCGUAUGAUUGAGAACCUACACUUCAUUAGCAUGGUUCAGUCAUUCUGGCCAGGAUACAGUCCACCCAACAGAGCAGAUGUCACAGGCAAAUUGCUGAGUAAAGUGUAUGAAAGAGAAAUCAAGCAGUGUGCAAAAGGUGUAGAGGGUAGAAUUGUUAACCUGAAUCUUGAUGGGUCGAGCAGUGUCCACAAUGAUCCUGUUGUUUCCUUACAGAAACAUCAGGAAAUGCACACACAGCAGAAUACUUACAAGAAGUAGCAGUAAAAGCUAUAACAAACUGUGGAAAAAAAAUUCAAUGUCUGGUACGCAGCUUGGUCACAGACAAUGCUGCAAAUGUUUCCAAGAUGAGAAGAAAUGAUUUAGAAUGAAGGGAGUCCCAAACUAAUAACAUAUCGUUGCAGUGCUCAUUUGAUGCACCUCCUAGCCAAAGACUUCAGUGUUCCAGAAACAAAGGCUAAUGUUGAAAUUGCAAAAUACUUCCGUAACCACCACUUUGCAGCAGCUGCUCUGAAAAAAGUGGGAGGAACCAAGCUAACUCCCACAAGACAUGCGAUGGAACUCAGUAGUGGAGUGUUUUGAGCAGUAUAUCAAGAACAGUUUGUGAACAAAAUCAUGAAAAAAUAGAUGGCACUGUCACAGCCAAAGUUCUCAACAUUGGGCUUAAGAGAAGUGUUGAAUACAUGCUGAGUACCCUGAAACUUGUUUCUGUAGCCUUUAACAAAAUGCAGGGAAAUAACUCUUUUAUUGCUGAUGCCACUGAAAUUUGGAAGGAACUGAGUGAGAUCUGAAAAAGAGAAAUGUGCAAUGAGAGAGUUUAAAUUACAAGCAUUAAAAAAACAAAUGGGACAAGCACCAUCUCCAGCUCAUUUUCUUGGAAAUAUUCUCAAUACUUGGGUCAAACCUUAACUGCUGAAGAAGAGUAGUUGGCUAUGACAUGGACAUCCAGCAAUCAUUCCUCCAUGAUGUUAACUGUAAUAAACUCCAGAGCUAAGGGUGAACCAUUCAAGAAAUAUAAGUUUGAUGAUGUUUUAAAGAAAGUCUCACCAGUGAACUGGUGGAGGUCACUUUAAGCAUUUGGUUCAGAGACUGUUGAACUGGUGAUCUCACUUUUAACAGCAGUAGCUUCUUCUGCUGGUGUAGAAAUAAUAUUUUCUUCCUUUGGACUAAUUCAUUCCAAAUUGAGAAAUUUACUUGUGGCACCUUAGAGACUAAC